rnacentral:rRNA from 1 species
GACGUAGGGCGCGAGCGUUGUCCGGAUUUAUUGGGCGUAAAGAGCUCGUAGGCGGUGUGUCACGUCGGCCGUGAAAACCUGGGGCUUAACUCUGGGCGUGCGGUCGAUACGGGCAUCACUAGAGUUCGGCAGGGGAGACUGGAAUUCCUGGUGUAGCGGUGAAAUGCGCAGAUAUCGGGAGGAACACCGGUGGCGAAGGCGGUUCUCUGGGCCUGUACUGACGCUGAGGAGCGAAAGCGUGGGGAGCGAACAGG